UUAUAGGAUGAUAUUUUUUAUUUUUUGCUGAUCUAUUGAGAACAGAGGUAGCCGCAAGCUAUUCUUUAAGAUUUAUCGUUAUUUGAUUUAUUGAAUGAUAUCGUUUUGAUAUCGAUUGAUUUAUUGAAUAGCAUUCAGAUAAAUCUUUUAAUGUAAUGAGUGGUCAGUAUUUUUUUGUCAUAGUUACACUGAUU
rnacentral:snoRNA from 1 species